rnacentral:rRNA from 1 species
UACGGAGGGUGCAAGCGUGUCCGGAUUUAUUGGGUUUAAAGGGUGCGUAGGCGGCCUUGUAAGUCAGUGGUGAAAGCCUCCAGCUCAACUGGAGAACUGCCAUUGAUACUGAAAGACUUGAGUACAGACGAGGUUGGCGGAAUGGAUGGUGUAGCGGUGAAAUGCAUAGAUACCAUCCAGAACUCCGAUUGCGUAGGCAGCUAACUAGGCUGUAACUGACGCUGAGGCACGAAAGCGUGGGGAUCAAACAGG